GACGAACGCUGGCGGCGUGCUUAACACAUGCAAGUCGAACGGAAAGGCCCUGCUUUUGUGGGGUGCUCGUGUGGCGAACGGGUGAGUAACACGUGAGUAACCUGCCCUUGACUUUGGGAUAACUUCAGGAAACUGGGGCUAAUACCGGAUAGGAGCUCCUGCUGCAUGGUGGGGGUUGGAAAGUUUCGGCGGUUGGGGAUGGACUCGCGGCUUAUCAGCUUGUUGGUGGGGUAGUGGCUUACCAAGGCUUUGACGGGUAGCCGGCCUGAGAGGGUGACCGGCCACAUUGGGACUGAGAUACGGCCCAGACUCCUACGGGAGGCAGCAGUGGGGAAUAUUGCACAAUGGGCGGAAGCCUGAUGCAGCAACGCCGCGUGCGGGAUGACGGCCUUCGGGUGGUAAACCGCUUUCGCCUGUGACGAAGCGUGAGUGACGGUAAUGGGUAAAGAAGCACCGGCUAACUACGU
rnacentral:rRNA from 1 species